rnacentral:rRNA from 1 species
UACGGGGGGCAAGCGUUGUUCGGAAUUACUGGCGUAAAGGGCGCGUAGGCGGUUCGUUAAGUCGAAUGUGAAACUCUGGGCUCAACCCAGAGCCUGCAUCGAACUGGCGAGCUAGAGUCUGGAGGGGUAGCGGAAUUCCUGGUGUAGCGGUGAAAUGCGUAGAUAUCAGGAGGAACACCGGUGGCGAAGGCGGCUACCUGGACAGAACGUGACGCUGAGGCGCGAAAGCUAGGGGAGCAAACAGG